UGUCGAGUUUCUCUUCAUUGUGCAUAAAUUUUUAAACCCUUUUACUAAAGAUUUCCGUGGAGGAAUUUUUUGCGAGUGAUCUGUUUUUUUGGGGGCUCUGCUCACAGCAGAGCU